rnacentral:rRNA from 1 species
UACGUAGGGACCAAGCGUUUUUUUUUUUUUUUUUUGUUCGGAUUACUGGGCGUAAAGGGCUCGUAGGCGGCCAACUAAGUCAGACGUGAAAUCCCCAGGCUUAACCUGGGAACUGCGUCUGAUACUGGAUGGCUUGAAUUCGGGAGAGGGAUGCAGAAUUCCAGGUGUAGCGGUGAAAUGCGUAGAUAUCUGGAGGAAUACCGGUGGCGAAGGCGGCAUCCUGGACCGACAUUACGCUGAGGAGCGAAAAGCUAGGGGAGCAAACGGGG